UGAGAUUAAAAGGAAAAGGGUAUAAAUAACCCCACCCACACCUGACCAGAAAACCCUAGCCGCUAGUGCCUCGCCGGAGAAGAAGAACCAGACGCCGGAGGAGUUGGCCGCCGCCACCAGCCGUCGCACUGGGGAAGUUUUCGACCGCCGAUUGAGGUAAAUUUUCUCCUCCCUGCUCGUUUUUUGAUGCUGAGUCCACCUAUGGCCAAACUGGAGCCAAACCACCGGCUAAACGGCCGAAAAAUCCAACCGAAACCCAGCGGCCUGUCGCGUCCCUCCUCGAUUUUUGCCUCCGAUGAGGCCCUUCCCGGCCUCCAUUUGAUGCAAAUUUUAUACCACUGUGAUCACCGUUCUUUUCUCUACAGGUUGAUCAGAGCCAAACAUCAAAACGCGACUCACGCCAGAGGAGCCGCCGCACCCGAGAGCACCGCCGCCGGUAAGUUUCAAUUUUUCGUGAUUUUUCAGCCCACUGAGGGCCCUAGGGUUGUUUUAUUACAGGGAACGAUGCAAGUGUAGCCGAAUUCGACC
rnacentral:lncRNA from 1 species